UGAACUCCUCGCCAGAGACGCUCCACAGCCUUGAAUGGGGAAGCUUUGCCAUUUCUUUCGCUGGAAUCUUCAAUUGAAAACAUCAAGAUCAUUAACCUGUGUCAGCCUGGACAGACUUCUGUUUCAGUUCUGACUGCACCACACUAAUCUCUCUGCUUAUGUGGAUCACUGACUACUAUGUUCUCUGAAGCGGAUGCCCUUCCAGCCUCAACCCAUCUCUGGGAAACAUCCACACACACUCAUUCACUACACACAAUUUUAGCCUACCCAAU